AUUAGUGGCGACGGGUGAGUAACACGUGGGCAAUCUGCCCUUCACUCUGGGACAAGCCCUGGAAACGGGGUCUAAUACCGGAUAACACUCUGUCCCGCAUGGGACGGGGUUAAAAGCUCCGGCGGUGAAGGAUGAGCCCGCGGCCUAUCAGCUUGUUGGUGGGGUAAUGGCCUACCAAGGCGACGACGGGUAGCCGGCCUGAGAGGGCGACCGGCCACACUGGGACUGAGACACGGCCCAGACUCCUACGGGAGGCAGCAGUGGGGAAUAUUGCACAAUGGGCGAAAGCCUGAUGCAGCGACGCCGCGUGAGGGAUGACGGCCUUCGGGUUGUAAACCUCUUUCAGCAGGGAAGAAGCGAAAGUGACGGUACCUGCAGAAGAAGCGCCGGCUAACUACGUGCCAGCAGCCGCGGUAAUACGUAGGGCGCAAGCGUUGUCCGGAAUUAUUGGGCGUAAAGAGCUCGUAGGCGGCUUGUCACGUCGGAUGUGAAAGCCCGGGGCUUAACCCCGGGUCUGCAUUCGAUACGGGCUAGCUAGAGUGUGGUAGGGGAGAUCGGAAUUCCUGGUGUAGCGGUGAAAUGCGCAGAUAUCAGGAGGAACACCGGUGGCGAAGGCGGAUCUCUGGGCCAUUACUGACGCUGAGGAGCGAAAGCGUGGGGAGCGAACAGGAUUAGAUACCCUGGUAGUCCACGCCGUAAACGUUGGGAACUAGGUGUUGGCGACAUUCCACGUCGUCGGUGCCGCAGCUAACGCAUUAAGUUCCCCGCCUGGGGAGUACGGCCGCAAGGCUAAAACUCAAAGGAAUUGACGGG
rnacentral:rRNA from 1 species